ensembl:lncRNA
ACUCAAAAUGACCGCGCCAACCCCAGACAAGGCUUUUCACUGUGAAAGAGGCUGUAUCUACGUUGGUUGGUGAUGUAGAUUCGGAAACGAUCGAAUCGUUUAAAAAGCGAUGAUGUCGAGGGAAGUGGACAAGCAAAUUGCACAGAGAAAUUAAACAAGACCUUCAUACUUCAAGAGGGCAAACCGUCAGAAGAUGAAACAAGACGAAUACGACUAUGACAUCUUCAUCGCCCCAAAGGACGCCAUCUAUUUCAUCCAUGGCCAGGUGACGAUGGCAGAAGGGAAGGGGAAAGUCUACCUGUUUUGGAAACUCAAAAGCAGCCGUAAGAUCAAAACCAACAACGGAACCUGUCCUGAGAUCACCUUCGCUACGGAGGUCAAGUUGUUGAAAGGUGGUCGGGUUUACCUCGUCUUCAACACGGGCAAACCCAAACUGAAAGAGAGCACUUUCUCAGUCUACGAGCUCGUCGAGCAGUGACCGGACUGAAACAGUACAGUCUAUGAGCUCGUCGAGCAGUGACCGGACUGAAACAGUACAGUCUACGAGCUCGUCGAGCAGUGACCGGACUGAAACAGUACAGUCUACGAGCUCGUCGAGCAGUGAUCGGACUGAAACAGUACAGUCUACGAGCUCGUCGAGCAGUGGCCGGACUGAAACAGUACAGUCUACGAGCUCGUCGAGCAGUGACCGGACUGAAACAGUACAGUCUACGAGCUCGUCGAGCAGUGACCGGACUGAAACAAACACGAGCUCGUCGAGCAGUGACCGGACUGAAACAGUACAGUCUACGAGCUCGUCGAGCAGUGACCGGACUGAAACAGUACAGUCUACGAGCUCGUCGAGCAGUGACCGGACUGAAACAGUACAGUCUACGAGCUUGUCGAGCAGUGACCGGACUGAAACAGUACAGUCUAGAAGUGUUAUGCCACACUCUGUAAGAUACCGUUAGAGUUAACAACAAAACAUAAACAAUGGAGCUGAUACAUUUCUACACGCAACUUAAAAUCGUAACGUUUGCUUAAAAGAAUCGGGCAGUAAAUACCGGUACAUUACAUGCAUACGUGUUCACUUGUGUACAAUAAUUAUACAUUGAUUGUACAAAACAUUAGGAGCACCUUCCUUAUAUUGAGUUGCACCCCCUUUUGCCUUCAGAACAGCCUCAAUUCGUUGGGGCAUUUAACUCUACAAGGUGUUGAAAGCAUUCCACAGGGAUGCUGGCCCAUGUUGACUCAUGCUUCCCACAGAUGUGUCAAGUUGGCUGGAUGUCAUUUGGAUGGUGGACCAUUCUUGAUACACACAAGAAAAAUUUGAGUGUGAAAAACCCAGCAGCGUUGCAGUUCACCCUCUGAAUGGCACACAUACGCAAUCAAUGUCUCAAUUGUCUCAAGGCUUAAAAAUCAUUCUUUAACCUGUCUUCUCCCCUUCAGCUACACUGAUUGAAGUGGAUUUAACAAGUGACAUCAAUAAGGGAUUAUAGCUUUCACCUGGGUUCACCUGGUCAGUCUAUGUCAUGGAAAGAGCAGGUGUUCCUAAUGUUUUGUACACUCAGUGUAUGUGUAUACUGGUAUCGUUAUUGUAUGUUAUCAGAAUGUUAGGGGACAGGGAAUCCCAAGAAAGAAAUGCAUACCUUAUAUUUUCUACAAUAUUUUAGUUGUAAAACGUAUUGAUCAACCAGGAAGUUACAAAGUGAUUAAAUGUAAUAAUAGGAUGGUGGAAUAUGAUUGUAUGUAAAUAUGUUGUCUAUGUAAUUAUAUUGUGGUCCUCUGUAGGUCAGUUGGUAGAGCAUUUGUCUUGCAAAGCCAGGAUAGUGGGUUCGAUUCCCAGGACCACCCAUACUAAAAACAUAUAUGCACGUAAGUCGCUUUAGCUAAAUGGCAUGAUAUAAGAGGACUCUUUUAUUAUCUAAGGAAGUCUGAUCUUGCACUGUAUUAUUUUAACCCAGUGCUUUCCCUGUUAUAGUGAAUGUUCUGAAUAUUUACUAUGCUUUGGAUCAAAUAAAGUAUUUCAUAUGAAAAAACUG